rnacentral:rRNA from 1 species
AACAAACGCUGGCGGCGUGCUUAACACAUGCAAGUCGCACGAGAAAUCCGGGGCAACCUGGAGAGUAAAGUGGCGCACGGGUGAGUAACACGUGGGUAACCUACCCUUGGAUUGGGGACAACUCUUCGAAAGGAGAGCUAAUACCGAAUAAUAUUCUGGAAACUAUGGAGAUCGGAAUCAAAGGUGGCCUCUGCAUGCAAGCUACCGUCCGGGGAUGGGCCCGCGCACCAUUAGCUAGUUGGUAGGGUAACGGCCUACCAAGGCAACGAUGGUUAGCUGGUCUGAGAGGAUGGCCAGCCACACUGGAACUGAGACACGGUCCAGACUCCUACGGGUGGCAG